rfam:Thiothrix lacustris isolate A8 Ga0073116_1312, whole genome shotgun sequence.
GAAACGAGCUAGGGGUGCCCGCAUGUGUGGGCUGAGAUUAGACCCUUGGAACCUGAUACGGAUGAUACCGGCGCAGGGAAUGCUCCAUUGGAGUGCU